rnacentral:rRNA from 1 species
GUGGGGAAUAUUGGACAAUGGGCGAAAGCCUGAUCCAGCCAUGCCGCGUGUGUGAAGAAGGUCUUCGGAUUGUAAAGCACUUUAAGUUGGGAGGAAGGGCAGUAAGUUAAUACCUUGCUGUUUUGAUGUUACCGACAGAAUAAGCACCGGCUAACUUCGUGCCAGCAGCCGCGGUAAUACGAAGGGUGCAAGCGUUAAUCGGAAUUACUGGGCGUAAAGCGCGCGUAGGUGGUUUUGUAAGUUGGAGGUGAAAUCCCCGGGCUCAACCUGGGAACUGCCUCCAAAACUGCAUGACUAGAGUACGGUAGAGGGUAGUGGAAUUUCCUGUGUAGCGGUGAAAUGCGUAGAUAUAGGAAGGAACACCAGUGGCGAAGGCGACUACCUGGACUGAUACUGACACUGAGGUGCGAAAGCGUGGGGAGCAAACAGGAUUAGAUACCCUUGUAGUCC